rnacentral:lncRNA from 1 species
GUUUUUUUUUUUUUUUUAUAAAUAUUCUAGUGAAGUUUCAAUUAGUGAUAUUCUCAGCCUCGGUUUUGUGAUUGCUGAAUGUUGUAAAGAAUUAAGCGCAAGAAUGGGAGAAAACAUAAUAUUGUGAUUCAAGGGUCCAGAUGUGAGUACUUGAGAGACGUCGACGAUGAGUGAAGCAAGAGGGUUCCCUGGGGUGCUUUGAUCCACCGGGCAUAUGCACUGAAAAUGGGAGAGUUACCCGUGGCAGAACAUGAGCAAUUCAUCAGUCAUUGACAUGAUCCAACGAUCAUACUCAAAGCGGUUUCAUCCAAAGAUAUAUCAAUUUGGACUUUCUCCUUUGGGAUGCCUAGCUCAAGCAACUAGAUCAAUGCAUUGUAAAUAUAUCAUCGAUUUGCAAGGGUGGUUGCGGUGGAAACUCCACCAUGCAACUUCAAAGUCGAUGGUCAUAACUAUAAGUCUAUAAUGUGGGAUACUGCAUCAAGAUGCCAUUUAUUUCGCUUGACCAAACUUUUUCGAAACAAUAUCAAACCCUCAAGGUAAUAAUAGAGUCCAUAAUGCAAGGUUUUGUGGGAACAAUUGUGAUCCAUGAGAGAGUUACUAGCUGACACCACAGAUUUCUUGAGAUCCACCGAAGGAUAGAAGACGUCUCAUUAGAUGAGUAUCUCCACGACGACCUUGUUGAGCAUAUAUACAUAUGUGACAGUAACAUGCGCAACAGUUUUGUGACAUUUCAUCAUUUUUAUUUAGAUUAUCUAGUACAUUUUGGAGCUCAUGGUAUAAUUGAAUUUCAAAAUCUCAAAAUUAUGAAUUUGAAAAGUUUUUCAAUUAUGCGUUGUAGAAACAUACAAGUUUGAACUUUUAGAUGUAAAAUUGGAGUUAGAUGAAGUUCAUAUGCAUGAAGAGGAGAUAAAUGGAAGAUAAUGCAGUAUAUGCGCUAAAUUACUAGGAAUUGUCAAAGGAGUGCUCCCUCAAAAGAUGAUUUUUAGGGGCUCCACUAAGACCAUUUUAGGAUCACAUAUCGAUAUGUUUUGAUGAUUUUUUUGGUUAAAAUUUGUCAUGUCUAUUGCACAUAAAUUGACAUGAUGUUUACAAUGAAGUUGUCACGAUAUGUUUGAACUACUUUUUGUUCUACAGUUAAAGUAAAUUUUGACAUGUUCUAAAAAAGAGAAUUAAGAAACUAAACUUGCCAUGGUGAAUUACAAAAAAUUGCCAUGAUCCAUGAAAUAAUUUUGACAUGGUUCAUAGUAAAAUAUAAAUCCAUCAUCAAUUACUUUAAAAAUGCAUGAUUAAUGAUUCAAAUUUGUCAUGAACCAUAAACUAAAAUUGCCACAGUGAAUUACUUAAAAUUUUCAUGAUACAUGCACUAAAAUGUGCCAUGGUUCGUACAAAAAAUAUUUUUCAUGGUCAAAAUACUAGAAUUGCCAUAGUCAAAAUACUAAAAUUGCCAUGAUCUAUAAACUAAAAUUGUCAUGAUCUAUAAACUAAAUUUGCCAUAAUGAAUUACUAAAAAUUUCCAUGAUCCAUGAAUUAAUUUUGCCGUGGUUAAUUACUAAAAAUCUUCAUGGUCAAUUAAUAAAAUUUACCGUGAAAAGUAGUUGAAAUAAAAUGGUAGCUUUAAAUGUAGAAGAAAAUACUAGAUGGAACAUAUCAUGGCAACUUUAGUGUAAACACUAUAGCAACUUCAAUGUAAAUAUCAUGGCAACUUUUGGCCCAAAAAAGGUCGUCGAAACAUAUCAAUAUGAGAUCUAGUUUUGAUGAUCUCGUCGAGACGGGUUUAAUGAUGAAGCGGAUUUUUAAUUGGAUUUUUAUUUAAGAGAUAAAACAUUUUGAGUCCGAAAAACCAAAAAGAUUCUGCUGAUUUCAUCUGUUUGAUGUGGCAAGAUGGAUGGUAAUGAGGCAUUUGGACUAUGUUGCUUCAUGGCACACGUGAGGCACUUAGCAUUUGGGUAUUUAAAAUGAUGAAAUUGAGGUGAUUAUUAGAUAAUAGAUAAAAAAACAAAAACGAAAGAAAAACGACCAUAAAGCCCGACUCGCAGUCCAACACACGUUGCACCCGUCGGGCCAUCGGCCCAUGCCAUCCAUUCCGAAUGCAAAUGGAGGCACCUGUGGACGGACAUUCCUAUUUGACGCAUCCUGCGUCAAACUGAGGCUGUUUUGCACAGGGAGAUAGAGCGAUGUUCGAGUUAGGCCGGCCCGUUUAAGCGUUUCGACGUCCCCAGUGUUGGGAACCUUCUAGAGGUUCCCAACCGGUUUUUUUUCCAGGAAAUUUCUACAAGUUUCCAAAACUGUUUUUUCUUGUUCUUUUUUUUUCACUUUCCUUUUUCCCUUUUCUUUUUUUCUUGUCUCUCUUUUGUUCCCUUUUCUGUUUUUUCUUUUUUCUAUUUCCUUUUCUCUUUCCUUUACUUUCAUUUUAAUGUUUCAUUUUCAAUUUAAUUUUUGUUUCUUAAAAACAUGUUUUUUUUAAAUCAUCGUUUGUUCAUAAAUCCAAAAAAUGUUCAUGAUUUUACAAAAAUGUUUGUAUUUUUCAAUAAACAUUCGGAAUGUUUCGGUUCAGAAUGUUCACAACUUUUCAAAGAAUGGUGCCCUUGUAAAAAAUGUUCAAUUGUAGAAAGACCAUAUUUAAAAAUUGUUCGCAACUGUCCAAUUUUUCAGGAGUUCAAAAAAUGUUCAUGUUACAAAAAAUGUUUGCAAAUUUUAAGCAAUGUUUGUGGUUUUCAAAUUUAGUUCAGAAUGUUUUUCUUUGAAAUGCUCACAAAUUUCAAAAAUAGUUCAAUUUUUUUGAAAAUGUUCAUGUUUCCAUUUUUCAAGAGUAUGAAAUUUUUUUGCUUUUCAAAAAUUGUUCACAAAUUUCAAAACAUAUUCGUGUGUUUAUAAAAUUGUUUGUAAGGUUACUAAAAAAAUAUUCAAUUGCAUAAACAUGUUCAAUUUAUUUUCAAAACAUGAACAUUUAUUUUCUUUUUUCUAUUUCCUUUUCUCUUUCCUUUACUUCCAUUUUAAUGUUUAUUUUCAAUUUAAUUUUUGUUUCUUAAAAACAUGUUCAAUUUCAUAAAUCCAAAAAAUGUUCAUGCUUUUACAAAAGUGUUUGUAUUUUUCAAUAAAUGUUCAGAACGUUUCGGUUCAGAAUGUUCACAACUUUUCAAAAAAUGUUUCCAUUAUCAGAAAACGUUCAAUUGUAGAAAAACCAUAUUUCAAAAAUUGUCCGCAACUGCCAUUUUUUUAGGAGUUCAAAAAAUGUUCAUGUUACAAAAAAUGUUUGCAAAUUUCAAACAAUGUUUGUUUUUUUUAAAUUUUGUUCAGAAAAUUUUUCUUUGAAAUGCUCACAAGUUUCAAAAAUAGUUCAAUAUUUUUGAAAAUGUUCAUGUUUCCAUUUUUUAAGAGUAUGAAUAAUUGUCAGCGUUUCAAAAAUUGUUCACAAAUUUCAAAACAUGUUAGUGUGUUUAUAAAAUUGUUUGUAAGGUUACUAAAAAAAUAUUCAGAACUUAAAAAAAAUGUUGCUGUUUUCAAUAAUGUUAAAAAAUGUUCAUGUUUUCAUUUUGUGGGUUUCGAAAUUUUUUCAGAGUUUUUGAAAAAUGUUCAUGUUUCAAAUUUUCUUUGGAGCUUAAAAAAAAUGUCCGCCUUGCGUUGUGGAACAAAAAAUGUUCCUGUUUCAAAAAUUGUUCACGGUUUUCAGAAAAUGUACAGUUUUUAAUGAUUUGAGCUGCCUUAGAAAAAAAUGCAUUCGAUAUUUCAGAAAUAUUUCGAAUCUGCAUUGGGGUGUGGUUCUUAAGAGUUUUUGUUGCCUUACGAUCAGCAAAGCUCGUUAGCUCAGCUGGUUUGUAUUGCCUUGCCUCAUCGGACGAGAUAUGGGCUUGAUACAACUUGAGGGCGCAAUUUGUUUCGAGCUAUAAAUCGUAGCCUGUCGCUACCUUCAUGGGCUGGCCCAGUCGUAGACUGCCUUGUGCGUGCGUUCGGCAACCUGCCGCAGAGAGCAGCAGAUAGGAGCUCCCCCGUGGACCGUACAGAUUUGAUCAGAUUUGCUGGCAUAGGGACGAGUACGAAACAUGCAAGCAGCUCACAACCCGAAUCGUACGUACACAUUGCAUUUCAAAUUUCCCCCCAAAUUACCUUGGAUGCAUACAUGACAGUACAUCAUCCUCAUCGUUCACAGAUAGUACAUGGAAUGGAAGCAAACACUAACGAAGACACACUCGAUCGGUAGAGAAAACAAGCAGCAAACGCGGCGGCGAGCUGCGGAAAACAGAGACGCGUGCAAAGACCAGCAGAAUCCAGGACCCGAACAGCAGCACACACUGGAGGCCCUCUGUCCUCUGAUAUAUCUACAGUUCAGUGCCUCCGACCAUCACCGAGACGGCGGCCGGCCGAUCUAGCGGCUGCCGAAGGAGGCGGACGAGCCGAACUUGGUGGCGCUGGCCCUCAGCACGUACUGGUGGUACAAGGCGGCGAUGGCGGCGCCGAUGAAUGGCC